rnacentral:rRNA from 1 species
AUGAAUUCCUUAGGAACCUUUAUUAUAAAUGAAAUAUACCGGAUUGUGAUCAAUCAAAUAUUGCUAAGUCCUGGUAUUUACUACCGCUCGGAAUUAGAUCAUAAGGGAAUUUCUAUCUACACUGGCACUAUAAUAUCAGAUUGGGGGGCGGGGAGAUCAGAAUUAGCAAUUGAUAAAAAAGAAAGGAUAUGGGCUCGCGUGAGUAGAAAACAAAAGAUAUCUAUUCUAGAGAAUAAGAGGAUUGAGUCAAAAGAAAAAAGCUAUUUUGGAGUUUUAUCAACAAUUUGCUUGUGUAGGUGGGGACCUGGUAUUUUUCGAGUCCUUAUGCGAGGAAUUACAAAAGAAUUUUUUUCAACAAAAAUGUGA